CCUACGGGAGGCAGCAGUGAGGAAUAUUGGUCAAUGGACGCAAGUCUGAACCAGCCAUGCCGCGUGCAGGAUGACGGCUCUAUGAGUUGUAAACUGCUUUUGUACGAGGGUAAACCCCGAUACGUGUAUCGGGUUGAAAGUAUCGUACGAAUAAGGAUCGGCUAACUCCGUGCCAGCAGCCGCGGUAAUACGGAGGAUCCGAGCGUUAUCCGGAUUUAUUGGGUUUAAAGGGUGCGUAGGCGGUUUGAUAAGUUAGAGGUGAAAUGUCGGGGCUCAACCCCGAAACUGCCUCUAAUACUGUUGGACUAGAGAAUAGUUGCGGUAGGCGGAAUGUAUGGUGUAGCGGUGAAAGGCUUAGAGAUCAUACAGAACACCGAUUGCGAAGGCAGCUUACCAAACUAUAUCUGACGUUGAGGCACGAAAGCGUGGGUAGCAAACAGGAUUAGAUACCCUUGUAGUC
rnacentral:rRNA from 1 species